CGGAGUAAUGCUUGGGAAUCUAGCUUAUGGAGGGGGAUAACUACGGGAAACUGUAGCUAAUACCGCGUAGUAUCGAGAGAUGAAAGUGUGGGACCUUCGGGCCACAUGCCAUAGGAUGAGCCCAAGUGGGAUUAGGUAGUUGGUGAGGUAAAGGCUCACCAAGCCGACGAUCUCUAGCUGGUCUGAGAGGAUGACCAGCCACACUGGGACUGAGACACGGCCCAG
rnacentral:rRNA from 1 species